rnacentral:rRNA from 1 species
GCAGGGCGCAGCUUACCAUGCAGUCGAGCGGUAACAGGGGUAGCUUGCUACCCGCUGACGAGCGGCGGACGGGUGAGUAAUGCAUAGGAAACUGCCCAGUAGUGGGGGAUAGCCCGGGGAAACCCGGAUUAAUACCGCAUACGUCCUUCGGGAGAAAGCAGGGGAUCUUCGGACCUUGCGCUAUUGGAUGUGCCUAUGUCGGAUUAGCUGGUUGGUGAGGUAAUGGCUCACCAAGGCGACGAUCCGUAGCUGGUCUGAGAGGAUGAUCAGCCACAUCGGGACUGAGACACGGCCCGAACUCCUACGGGAGGCAGCAGUGGGGAAUAUUGGACAAUGGGGGCAACCCUGAUCCAGCCAUGCCGCGUGUGUGAAGAAGGCUUUCGGGUUGUAAAGCACUUUCAGUGAGGAGGAAAAGUUAGUCCUUAAUACGGGCUAGCCUUGACGUUACUCACAGAAGAAGCACCGGCUAACUCCGUGCCAGCAGCCGCGGUAAUACGGAGGGUGCAAGCGUUAAUCGGAAUUACUGGGCGUAAAGCGCGCGUAGGUGGUUUGAUAAGCGAGAUGUGAAAGCCCCGGGCUUAACCUGGGAACGGCAUUUCGAACUGUCAGGCUAGAGUGUGGUAGAGGGUAGUGGAAUUUCCUGUGUAGCGGUGAAAUGCGUAGAUAUAGGAAGGAACACCAGUGGCGAAGGCGGCUACCUGGACCAACACUGACACUGAGGUGCGAAAGCGUGGGGAGCAAACAGGAUUAGAUCCCCGG